GGCGGCGUGGAUAAGACAUGCAAGUCGAGCGCUUAUUCCUUGGUAGCAAUAUUAGGGGGUAGGAGCGGCGCAAGGGUGCGUAACACGUGGAUCAUCUGCCUGGAAGUUCGGAAUAAUUCCGCGAAAGCGGGACUAAUGCCGGAUGUGGCUGAGAGGUUAAAGCUGGGGAUCCCGAUUUAUCGGGACCUGGCGCUUCCAGAUGAGUCCGCGGCCUAUCAGCUAGUUGGCGGGGUAAAAGCCCACCAAGGCUAAGACGGGUAGCUGGUCUGAGAGGACGACCAGCCACACUGGAACUGAGACACGGUCCAGACACCUACGGGUGGCAGCAGUCGAGAAUUUUUCUCAAUGGGCGCAAGCCUGAAGGAGCGACGCCGCGUGGGGGAUGAAGGGCUUCGGUCCGUAAACCCCUGUCAUUUGCGAACAAACCUCUUGGUUGAACAUUUCAAGAGCUGAUUGUAGCGAAAGAGGAAGGGACGGCUAACUCUGUGCCAGCAGCCGCGGUAAUACAGAGGUCCCAAGCGU
rnacentral:rRNA from 1 species